rnacentral:SRP_RNA from 1 species
GCCAGGCGUGGUGGCGCAUGUCUGUAAUCCCAGCUACUGGGGAGGCUGAGGCAGAAGAAUCACUUGAACCCAGGGGGCGGAGGGUGCAGUGAGUCCAGAUCAAGCCACUGCACUCCAGCCUGGGUAACAGAGUGAGACUCAGUCUCAA